UUAAGCGACUAAGCGUACACGGUGGAUGCCCUGGCAGUCAGAGGCGAUGAAGGACGUGCUAAUCUGCGAUAAGCGUCGGUAAGGUGAUAUGAACCGUUAUAACCGGCGAUUUCCGAAUGGGGAAACCCAGUGUGAUUCGUCACACUAUCAUUAACUGAAUCCAUAGGUUAAUGAGGCGAACCGGGGGAACUGAAACAUCUAAGUACCCCGAGGAAAAGAAAUCAACCGAGAUUCCCCCAGUAGCGGCGAGCGAACGGGGAGCAGCCCAGAGCCUGAAUCAGUGUGUGUGUUAGUGGAAGCGUCUGGAAAGGCGCGCGAUACAGGGUGACAGCCCCGUACACAAAAAUGCACAUGCUGUGAGCUCGAUGAGUAGGGCGGGACACGUGGUAUCCUGUCUGAAUAUGGGGGGACCAUCCUCCAAGGCUAAAUACUCCUGACUGACCGAUAGUGAACCAGUACCGUGAGGGAAAGGCGAAAAGAACCCCGGCGAGGGGAGUGAAAAAGAACCUGAAACCGUGUACGUACAAGCAGUGGGAGCACAGAGCAAUCUGUGUGACUGCGUACCUUUUGUAUAAUGGGUCAGCGACUUAUAUUCUGUAGCAAGGUUAACCGAAUAGGGGAGCCGAAGGGAAACCGAGUCUUAACUGGGCGUUAAGUUGCAGGGUAUAGACCCGAAACCCGGUGAUCUAGCCAUGGGCAGGUUGAAGGUUGGGUAACACUAACUGGAGGACCGAACCGACUAAUGUUGAAAAAUUAGCGGAUGACUUGUGGCUGGGGGUGAAAGGCCAAUCAAACCGGGAGAUAGCUGGUUCUCCCCGAAAGCUAUUUAGGUAGCGCCUCGUGAAUUCAUCUCCGGGGGUAGAGCACUGUUUCGGCAAGGGGGUCAUCCCGACUUACCAACCCGAUGCAAACUGCGAAUACCGGAGAAUGUUAUCACGGGAGACACACGGCGGGUGCUAACGUCCGUCGUGAAGAGGGAAACAACCCAGACCGCCAGCUAAGGUCCCAAAGUCAUGGUUAAGUGGGAAACGAUGUGGGAAGGCCCAGACAGCCAGGAUGUUGGCUUAGAAGCAGCCAUCAUUUAAAGAAAGCGUAAUAGCUCACUGGUCGAGUCGGCCUGCGCGGAAGAUGUAACGGGGCUAAACCAUGCACCGAAGCUGCGGCAGCGACACUGUGUGUUGUUGGGUAGGGGAGCGUUCUGUAAGCCUGCGAAGGUGUGCUGUGAGGCAUGCUGGAGGUAUCAGAAGUGCGAAUGCUGACAUAAGUAACGAUAAAGCGGGUGAAAAGCCCGCUCGCCGGAAGACCAAGGGUUCCUGUCCAACGUUAAUCGGGGCAGGGUGAGUCGACCCCUAAGGCGAGGCCGAAAGGCGUAGUCGAUGGGAAACAGGUUAAUAUUCCUGUACUUGGUGUUACUGCGAAGGGGGGACGGAGAAGGCUAUGUUGGCCGGGCGACGGUUGUCCCGGUUUAAGCGUGUAGGCUGGUUUUCCAGGCAAAUCCGGAAAAUCAAGGCUGAGGCGUGAUGACGAGGCACUACGGUGCUGAAGCAACAAAUGCCCUGCUUCCAGGAAAAGCCUCUAAGCAUCAGGUAACAUCAAAUCGUACCCCAAACCGACACAGGUGGUCAGGUAGAGAAUACCAAGGCGCUUGAGAGAACUCGGGUGAAGGAACUAGGCAAAAUGGUGCCGUAACUUCGGGAGAAGGCACGCUGAUAUGUAGGUGAAGUCCCUCGCGGAUGGAGCUGAAAUCAGUCGAAGAUACCAGCUGGCUGCAACUGUUUAUUAAAAACACAGCACUGUGCAAACACGAAAGUGGACGUAUACGGUGUGACGCCUGCCCGGUGCCGGAAGGUUAAUUGAUGGGGUCAGCGCAAGCGAAGCUCUUGAUCGAAGCCCCGGUAAACGGCGGCCGUAACUAUAACGGUCCUAAGGUAGCGAAAUUCCUUGUCGGGUAAGUUCCGACCUGCACGAAUGGCGUAAUGAUGGCCAGGCUGUCUCCACCCGAGACUCAGUGAAAUUGAACUCGCUGUGAAGAUGCAGUGUACCCGCGGCAAGACGGAAAGACCCCGUGAACCUUUACUAUAGCUUGACACUGAACAUUGAGCCUUGAUGUGUAGGAUAGGUGGGAGGCUUUGAAGUGUGGACGCCAGUCUGCAUGGAGCCGACCUUGAAAUACCACCCUUUAAUGUUUGAUGUUCUAACGUUGACCCGUAAUCCGGGUUGCGGACAGUGUCUGGUGGGUAGUUUGACUGGGGCGGUCUCCUCCUAAAGAGUAACGGAGGAGCACGAAGGUUGGCUAAUCCUGGUCGGACAUCAGGAGGUUAGUGCAAUGGCAUAAGCCAGCUUGACUGCGAGCGUGACGGUGCGAGCAGGUGCGAAAGCAGGUCAUAGUGAUCCGGUGGUUCUGAAUGGAAGGGCCAUCGCUCAACGGAUAAAAGGUACUCCGGGGAUAACAGGCUGAUACCGCCCAAGAGUUCAUAUCGACGGCGGUGUUUGGCACCUCGAUGUCGGCUCAUCACAUCCUGGGGCUGAAGUAGGUCCCAAGGGUAUGGCUGUUCGCCAUUUAAAGUGGUACGCGAGCUGGGUUUAGAACGUCGUGAGACAGUUCGGUCCCUAUCUGCCGUGGGCGCUGGAGAACUGAGGGGGGCUGCUCCUAGUACGAGAGGACCGGAGUGGACGCAUCACUGGUGUUCGGGUUGUCAUGCCAAUGGCACUGCCCGGUAGCUAAAUGCGGAAGAGAUAAGUGCUGAAAGCAUCUAAGCACGAAACUUGCCCCGAGAUGAGUUCUCCCUGACUCCUUGAGAGUCCUGAAGGAACGUUGAAGACGACGACGUUGAUAGGCCGGGUGUGUAAGCGCAGCGAUGCGUUGAGCUAACCGGUACUAAUGAACCGUGAGGCUUAACCUU
rnacentral:rRNA from 1 species